rnacentral:rRNA from 1 species
AACGAACGCUGGCGGAUGCCUAAUACAUGCAGUCGAACGAGAUCUUCGGAUCUAGUGGCGCACGGGUGCGUAACGCGUGGGAAUCUGCCCUUGGGUUCGGAAUAACUUCUGGAAACGGAAGCUAAUACCGGAUGAUGACGUAAGUCCAAAGAUUUAUCGCCCAAGGAUGAGCCCGCGUAGGAUUAGCUAGUUGGUGAGGUAAAGGCUCACCAAGGCGACGAUCCUUAGCUGGUCUGAGAGGAUGAUCAGCCACACUGGGACUGAGACACGGCCCAGACUCCUACGGGAGGCAGCAGUAGGGAAUAUUGGACAAUGGGGGAAACCCUGAUCCAGCAAUGCCGCGUGAGUGAUGAAGGCCUUAGGGUUGUAAAGCUCUUUUACCCGGGAUGAUAAUGACAGUACCGGGAGAAUAAGCUCCGGCUAACUCCGUGCCAGCAGCCGCGGUAAUACGGAGGGAGCUAGCGUUGUUCGGAAUUACUGGGCGUAAAGCGCACGUAGGCGGCUAUUCAAGUCAGAGGUGAAAGCCCGGGGCUCAACCCCGGAACUGCCUUUGAAACUAGAUAGCUUGAAUCCAGGAGAGGUGAGUGGAAUUCCGAGUGUAGAGGUGAAUUCGUAGAUAUUCGGAAGAACACCAGUGGCGAAGGCGGCUCACUGGACUGGUAUUGACGCUGAGGUGCG